rnacentral:rRNA from 1 species
GACGAACGCUGGCGGCGUGCUUAACACAUGCAAGUCGAACGAUGAAGCCUAGCUUGCUAGGUGGAUUAGUGGCGAACGGGUGAGUAAUACGUGAGUAACCUACCUUUAACUCUGGGAUAAGCCUGGGAAACUGGGUCUAAUACCGGAUACGACCAAUCUCCGCAUGGGGUGUUGGUGGAAAGCGUUAUGUAGUGGUUAUAGAUGGGCUCACGGCCUAUCAGCUUGUUGGUGAGGUAACGGCUCACCAAGGCGACGACGGGUAGCCGGCCUGAGAGGGUGACCGGCCACACUGGGACUGAGACACGGCCCAGACUCCUACGGGAGGCAGCAGUGGGGAAUAUUGCACAAUGGGCGCAAGCCUGAUGCAGCGACGCCGCGUGAGGGAUGACGGCCUUCGGGUUGUAAACCUCUGUUAGCAGGGAAGAAGAGAGAUUGACGGUACCUGCAGAGAAAGCGCCGGCUAACUACGUGCCAGCAGCCGCGGUAAUACGUAGGGCGCGAGCGUUGUCCGGAAUUAUUGGGCGUAAAGAGCUUGUAGGCGGUUUGUCGCGUCUGCUGUGAAGGCCGGGGCUUAACUCCGUGUAUUGCAGUGGGUACGGGCAGACUAGAGUGUAGUAGGGGAGACUGGAAUUCCUGGUGUAGCGGUGGAAUGCGCAGAUAUCAGGAGGAACACCGAUGGCGAAGGCAGGUCUCUGGGCUGUAACUGACGCUGAGAGGCGAAAGCAUGGGGAGCGAACAGGAUUAGAUACCCUGGUAGUCCAUGCCGUAAACGUUGGGCACUAGGUGUGGGGGACAUUCCACGUUUUCCGCGCCGUAGCUAACGCAUUAAGUGCCCCGCCUGGGGAGUACGGCCGCAAGGCUAAAACUCAAAGAAAUUGACGGGGGCCCGCACAAGCGGCGGAGCAUGCGGAUUAAUUCGAUGCAACGCGAAGAACCUUACCAAGGCUUGACAUAUACUGGACCGCAUCAGAGAUGGUGUUUCCCUUCGGGGCUGGUAUACAGGUGGUGCAUGGUUGUCGUCAGCUCGUGUCGUGAGAUGUUGGGUUAAGUCCCGCAACGAGCGCAACCCUCGUUCUAUGUUGCCAGCACGUUAUGGUGGGGACUCAUAGGAGACUGCCGGGGUCAACUCGGAGGAAGGUGGGGAUGACGUCAAAUCAUCAUGCCCCUUAUGUCUUGGGCUUCACGCAUGCUACAAUGGCCGGUACAGAGGGUUGCGAUACUGUGAGGUGGAGCUAAUCCCUAAAAGCCGGUCUCAGUUCGGAUUGGGGUCUGCAACUCGACCCCAUGAAGUCGGAGUCGCUAGUAAUCGCAGAUCAGCAACGCUGCGGUGAAUACGUUCCCGGGCCU